GCAGGCUGGGCAGAGUUAUUCUAGCUUAUGCAAUAUUCUUCGAGAGCAGGCGGAAUUUGCCGAUUUGGCCAAUAUCACACAACACAAAUUGAUGGUUGCCUUGUUACUUCAGGCUAUGGAGAACGAAAACGACAAGGUGACAUUAAUGGAACGCAACCCUCAGACAUUUGAUGAAGCCCGUCAUCAAAUACUCGAGCUUGAAACGUCCCGUCGUAGGACCAAGGGUAUGUCGGAAUCCCCUCGCCAUGUUUUUUUGUUUUUGCGGCUGCCGAUUAAGUCCCACUAUCGUUUCCAGAAAGACUCUAAGUCAGUCAAGAAGUCGUCUGAUGCUUCUUGUAAGUAUUGCGGACGCUCUGCUCACCCCGUGAAAAAUGUCCAGCGCUAAAUUGUCAUUGUUGCAUAUGCCACCAACGAGGUCAUUGGGACAAAGAAUCCAGAUCCCGACCCGUUAGUGCCAAGAUUCCGGAGGUCAAAAAGUUUCCCUCUUCUCGAGUUGGCUCUCUCAAACUUCGUCAGACUUCUCACACUUUGAGCACUGUUUCUAACGAGAUUAAGAUUAAUGUAGCACCCGCUGGUUCUGAGGGGCUCCCAAUCAAUAUCACAUUUUGUGCUGAUACCGGUGCUGACAUCUCCGUCAUUGGAGAUCAACUCUUCAAAAGUUCUGGUCUAAACAAAAUUGUGUCUCUCUCGGACAGUGUGAUUGAGGGCAUCGUUGGCAUUGAUGGCUCUUCCAUUAACCAAUUGGGCAUGUUCUCUGCGGUAUUAUCCGUUGUGGAUUCAUCUGUUCCAGGGACCUCUAUUGUGGUGUGCCAUGGAUUGAAAGGCGCGUACCUUGGUCUUCAUGCCUGCAAGGCCUUGACCAUCAUUGGUGAGAGUUUCCCGUCGCCAAAAGCCAAGGUGCUAUCCUUGCUGCUUCCAAAGCCGAAUUUCUCGCACCCCAGUUCGAUUUUCUGGGACAGUCGGGAAGAUUGGAUUUCUCAACUUCCCAAUGAGACCGGGCCAGCCUCAGGUGUUUGAGCGUGAUACUCUCGCCCCAUGACGGGUCCCAUUGUUGGCGACCCCAUGGUAAUCCACCUCAAAGAUGAUGCUAAGCCUUUCGCAAUCCAGUUGGCUCGUCAAAUCCCAUUCGCUAUCGAGGAUAAGGUUGAAAUUAUUCUUGAGGACUUGGUCAAGCAGAAUGUGAUCGUACAUGUUGGUGAUGUUCCAACAAUGUGAUGCCAUCCUAUUGUCCCCCGUCAUCAAAAGCAACGGCGAUGGCCGUUUGUGUGUUGAUCUCACCCGUCUGAAUACAGAGGUGAAGAGGAGUACUCAUCCGACUAAAACUCCUGCUGAGGCCAUCUCUGGUUUUUCGCCUGAGGAUUCGUUCUUUGCCAAACUAGACCUGGUCAAAGGCAGAUGCCUUUGGCCAAGGAAUCGCAGCCUCUUACUAUUUUCUUGACCCCUUUUGGGAGGUUCAUGUUUUUACGUUCUCCCAUGGGAUUUGUAUCGACAGGGGAUUCAUUCUCAUUUCGAGGCGAUGUGGCUAUGGCCGGAUUAAACGUCCAUAAGGUCGUGGACAAUAUGGCCUGUGGAGCGACGACAUUGCCAGACUUGGUGUAUUCUGUCAGUAAUGUGUUGGAACGUUGCUUGGCAUAUGGGUUGACAGUCAAUUCAGACAAGAGUAUUUUGGCAGCGUUGUCUAUUGAUUUCGUGCGAUAUCAUAUUUCCAAAGGCAGCGUUGAAAUGAAUUCAUCCAAGGUGGAUUUCAAAAAUUCGCCAUUCCCGCCACUCUUCCAUGCCUCAGAUCGUUCUUGGGUCUAGUGAACCAAUUGGGCAAGUUUUUCCCGAAUCUAGCUUCACUGACCUCGCCGUUCCGUCCAUUACUUAAAACCAAAAUAUGCUUUUUUGUGGCUCCCAGAGCACACUAAAACUUUCGAGGAGACAAAGCGAGCAUUGAUAUCACCUCCGGUGCUGGAAAUGUAUGAUCCAAAGUCUCAGACCGUUCUUCUCACAGACGCGUCCUGGAUGGGCCUUGGAUUUGUCUUGAUCCAGCUCAAAGCCAAAGUUCCCAAAUUAAUUCAAUGUGGAUCUCGUUAUUUAAAGGAUUGUAAAGGUCGGUAUGCGAUGGUUGAGUUGGAUACAUUGGCGAUUUAUUGGGUCGUUAAAAAGUGCAACGUGUACUUGGCUGGAAUCAACUUUACCGUCGUCACUGAUCACAAACCCCUUGUCUCCCUCUUCAACCAUCAGAUUCUGUGAAAUAGAAAACCCUCGUGUUUUAAAUUAUAGAACCCGUAUCAUGGGCUAUAAUUUCGUUGUUGAGGGGAAGAAAGGAAUUGAUCAUGCCAUACCGGAUGCUCUUUCAUGGGCUCCAGGAUCAAAGCCGGAUGUCGAAUCUGACUUUGAUCCCGUUGUUUUGGGUGAACCUCAUUCCUUGACGGUAACCUCGCUCAGAUCUGAAUACCCGGAUCUUAUUUUGGAUGAUGUCCUAGGAAUUCGCCAAAACAGACGAAUUGUAUUUGAAGCUCAAGGCCGCCAUUUUGGCCGACACGGUGAAGCACGCCCAUAGUGGUUAUAUGUCACUAUUCAAGAAGAUUGCCUCCGAGUUGGCAAUAAGAGGAGGAUAUAGUCCUAAGAAAUAGAAGGAUCCUUAUUCCACCCACGGCAGUUAAAGAGAUCCUUAAACGACUUCAUACCAGCCAUCAAGGUGUCUUUAAGAUGUUUUUCCGUCCUUCCCAUCAACCAGAACUAUUGGUCCAUGACACACUUCCAACCUGACCCUUCCAAGUGGUAAGUGCCGACCUUUUCACGUAUGGCUAUAGUGAGGAUUUGGUUUACUCGGACUGCCUCUCUGGUUACCCGUUGGCCAUCCAACACCGGACAUUUCCUAGUUCCGCUCUUUUAAUGAAGGAUUUUGCCCGGAUGUUUUCCAUGUUUGGAGUGCCAAAUGUGUUGUGCACAGACAAUGGGCCUCAGAUCGCUUCUCGGCCGUUCUCUCUUGUCCUGAAGGAGUGGGGUGUCACCUGGAUCCCAUCAACCCCAUACUACCCGCAGAGUAACGGCCGUGCCGAAGUAAUGGUUAAGUCCAUUAAGCACUUGCUGGCCAAAACGGGUGGAGAUUUCCACUCGGAGGAAUUUGCUGAAGGAAUGUUGAAAUUCCGGAAUACCCCAAUAGCCGAUGGCCAAUGGCCUCUCACUGGCGCAAAGAGUGUUUGGCCGGCCUCUUUGGUCUCGCCUUCCGAUCCACGAUGACCUUCUGCAGGUGAAUUUGCUCCAGAUUCCCACUUACAACGUCAAACGCCAAUCCACCCCCCCCCAAACGAAAACAAUAUCAUGAUCGUUCUGCCAAACCGCUAGAUCCGUUGGCCAAUGGGAGCGUUGUUUACGUUCAAAACCCUCAAUCGCGGCGUUGGGACCCAGAAGCCAAGAUCGUGAAAUGCUUUCAACGCCGUUAUUUGAUUCAAUUUGAAAAUGGCUGUAAAUCUUGGCGAAAUCGCCGUUUUCUCCGUUCAUCUCUUACAGAUUUGCCUGAUGCUUCCAAUAGAAAUGAACCAGAUGACGAGGACGAAAAUGUUUCACAAGUGCCAAGAAGAAGUACACGUUCUCGCCAUGCACCAAACCGUUUAGAGUAUUGUUGAUCCGGAGAUUUGUCACACAUAAUUUUGUUAUUUCAUUUAUCAUUCAUAGUGUUCCAAAUCUUAAAAAAGGGGAGUUGGAAUGAUCCCAUAAAGUAGGUUCCGUGUCGUUGGGUCUCGUUGAUACCCAAUAAAUUCCGCAAGGGGGUGUGUGGUGGUGCGAUCAGCUAGAGUAAGCUGACCGUCCACUGAUCCUCACUCUGCUCUCAACACCCGCCAUAGUAUCGUCUUUGAAAAUUGUACAGACUCAAACAUUCUGGCCUCUCCCAAUUCUAUGUUAUGUUGGUAAAGCAUUAGUCCCAAUAGACUGUGCAAAAUAUGUUAAUGGCCAUCGGUUUCCCCAACAAUAAUCUCCGCCAGUGGAUUUCCGUCAGGCGAUCUCCGCCAACGACAGUCUCCGCAAUGUCAACUCCACCAUUGUCAUGUUCUCAUUGGGAGCGUAUUGAGAUGACCAUUUAUUUCUGACUAGACCGGGUUCUUAUAUAGUGACUAGAAUGACAAGGUACGAGCACGUGCAUUUAUAAUCACCCCAACCAUAAUAAACUCCGCCAACGGUAAUCUCCGCCAUGGUAAACUCCGACAUACCAACAAAUUUAAUUAUUGCAUAGUUUCCUAUAUUUAUGGUUUUUCUUCCAUUUGCAAGUUACUUGAGACAUUGUUGGGCAAAUUUUUAACUUUUAAAGAUGCGUUUGAUGUCAGGAAAUGAGAAGAAUCACGGUUUUUAAAAGAAACAUAUAGCUUGGUUUUUAGAUGUAUGAUAAAAGUGUGAUUCAUGUACUCCUUACAAAUACGUGAUGUAUUACAGGGUGGAUUUGAUAAAGUGUUACAGAAUUUGUUGUGGCAAAAGUGACAAUGUAGCUGAACCAUUUACUUUCAUAAUUGGUGCCCCAAUUGCAAAAGGCAUUCGCUUUGCAUUGAAACCAUUGCAUCACUUAUUGAACAACAGCUUUCGAAUGACGGAAGCCAAGGUUAGCAAGUCAUUGCUAGGAACAGUACAGAGCGUGCCAUCAUUGAGCCUGACGUUCCAAGGGACGAGCGUCGCUGGAACAUUGAUGGUUCCUUCUGCCGAUUUUGAAUUCCAGCCUAAAAAUAACAAUAACAGGUGCAUAGACAAGCUGACAAUAAGCAGAUUACUCUUAUUGGCGGCAGACCAACCUACCGAUAAUGAUGAUUUAGCGAGCUCGGAUACAGACAUACUGUAUUGUGGAACACUUCAAGGCGACAAAGUAUGUAAUUUCGAUAAGAAUUUUGUUACAAUUAGAUUGACAGCUAACCAAAUGACCAAUGGUAAAGGAGCCAAAGUGAUUAUAUGUUUCCCUUGAAAUGGUUGGUUCUGACUGAGGUUCCCUGUGUGUUGUGUGCGAAAUACCCCAACGGUUUUAUUUUACGUUGCACAUAGGAUUUGAAAUAAAGAUUCCAAGAACCCCAAUAUUCGCGCAGGCCGUUAUUUUGGAACUUGGAGAAAAUUAGUACAGGUGAGCUUGAACUAGAUUUUGUGCAGUUAUUUCAGGACAUAGAUAUUGACCAAUCAGGAAACAUUACUCUAAUAUUUUGCAAAUGCGCACCCACGUCCCUUCAUAACGGUUUGAAAUUUCAUUUGCAAAACACACCCUCGUCCAGAAAUAACGGUUUGAGAUCUCAUUUGAAAAAAACCUCUCCCACUCUCGAUCCCACUGUUGAUCUCGCCCAAAUUUGAUUGAGCUGAAAUUUGUUAUUGAAGUAAGGCAUUCAUUUUCUUUGGUGUCUUUGCGUUCUGAUGUUUAAAAAAUAUAUAUUCUCAGGCAAACAA